rnacentral:rRNA from 1 species
AACUUUCAACAACGGAUCUCUUGGCUCUCGCAUCGAUGAAGAACGCAGCGAAAUGCGAUAAGUAAUGUGAAUUGCAGAAUUCAGUGAAUCAUCGAAUCUUUGAACGCACCUUGCGCUCCUUGGUAUUCCGAGGAGCAUGCCUGUUUGAGUGUCAUUAAUAUAAUCAACUCCUUCAGCUUUUGUUGAGUGAGUUGGAUGUGGGGGUUUUUGUUGGCUUUAACAGUCAGCUCUCCUAAAAUGUAUUAGCAGAACAAUCUCUUGACUGUUCAAUUAGUGUGAUAAUUAUCUACGCUAUUGAACUGUGAGGCAAGUUCAGCUUCUAAUAGUCCAUUGGUUUGGACAAUUUUAUUUAA